AGCGAACGCUGGCGGCGUGGAUUAGACAUGCAAGUCGAGCGAUCCCGAGUAAUCGGGAUAGCGGCGAACGGGUGAGUAAUACUUGAGUAAUCUACCCCAAAGACUGGGAUAACUCCGAGAAAUCGGAGCUAAUACCAGAUAAAUCCUGAUAGUUAUGCUAUUCAGGACAAAGUCCCGUGUAAACGGGAUGCUUUGGGAAGAGCUCAUGGCCUAUCAGCUAGUUGGUAGGGUAAUAGCCUACCAAGGCAAAGACGGGUAGCUGGUCUGAGAGGACGGCCAGCCACAUGGGGACUGAGACACGGCCCUGACUCCUACGGGAGGCAGCAGUCGAGGAUCUUCCGCAAUGGGCGAAAGCCUGACGGAGCGACGCUGCGUGAGGGAUGAAGGCCUUCGGGUUGUAAACCUUUGUCAGAGAGAACGAGGUCCCGAGUAAUCGGGAUGACGGUACUUUCAGAGGAAGCCACGGCUAACUCCGUGCCAGCAGCCGCGGUAAUACGGAGGUGGCAAGCGUUGCUCGGAUUUACUGGGCGUAAAGGGUGCGUAGGUGUUCCGAUAGGUCUUAAGUGAAAACCCUCGACUCAAUCGAGGAAUGGCUUAAGAAACCAUCGGAAUUGAGUCUAGGAGAAGGAGAUGGAAUUCUCGGUGUAGCGGUGAAAUGCGUAGAUAUCGGGAAGAACACCAGUAGCGAAGGCGAUCUCCUAGCCUAGUACUGACACUGAGACACGAAAGCUGGGGUAGCGAACAGGAUUAGAUACCCUGGUAGUCCCAGCCGUAAACGAUGGGCACUAGGUGUUCCCUGCUUAAUGUGGGGGGCGUCGUAGCUAACGUGUUAAGUGCCCCGCCUGGGGAGUACGGCCGCAAGGCUGAAACUCAAAGGAAUUGACGG
rnacentral:rRNA from 1 species